rnacentral:lncRNA from 1 species
UGGGCUCUCUCUUGGCUUUAGUGGUUCAGCAAAUGUUUUAUGUUCCAGGCAUUUUUGCAGACUUUUUUCUCUCUCACUAUGACCAGGAAUUUGUGAAAAGUGAAUCUCUUUGAAGAUCUUUUACAUGUUCCAUACAUUCACACAGCGCCAAGCUUUUCUGUCAUACAUUGUGUGCAGAGUUUGACAGAUGUUUGAGCUCAGCUCGAGGCAGUCGCACACAUCUGGAAACGUUGCAUCACAGACGAAUGUCCCGGAUAAAGGGAACGAAGAGGCUGUUGUGUAGUGGAGGAAGAAAAACUGGAUGCUUCAUGAUGAUGAUCGUUGCUGCAUUUGGUUCGUAAGCGCAGGACGCAGAGAAAAAGACGCAAACCACCGGUCUCAGUGAGAGGAGGUGACAACAAGGAGAAAAAAUGCCGGUACCUCCUCCGCCUCCCCCUCCCCCACCCCCCACCUUCUCUCAGGCAAACACUGAGAAGCCUGUCUUGAAUAAAUCGGAGCAGCAGGGCAGGAAUGCUCUACUGUCGGACAUCGGCAAAGGAGCAAGGCUAAAGAAGGCGGUUACUAAUGACCGUAGCGCCCCCAUACUUGACCGUAAGAACCAGCACCUUAUGGAGUUAUACUGGCUAUGUUUGUCUAUGCACCA